rnacentral:rRNA from 1 species
AGUUGUAUCCUGGCUCAGGAUGAACGCUGGCGGUAUGCCUAACACAUGCAAGUCGUACGAGAAUUUAUUCAAGUGGCGGACGGGUGAGUAACACGUGAGAAUUUGCCUUUAGGAGGGGGACAACAGUGGGAAACCGCUGCUAAUACCCCAUAUGCUUUCGAGUAAAAUGGAUUUAUCCGCCUAGAGGGAAGCUCGCGGCUGAUUAGCUUGUUGGUAAGGUAAUGGCUUACCAAGGCGACGAUCAGUAUCUGGUUUGAGAGGAUGAUCAGACACACUGGAACUGAGACACGGUCCAGACUCCUACGGGAGGCAGCAGUGGGGAAUUUUCCGCAAUGGGCGAAAGCCUGACGGAGCAAUACCGCGUGAGGGAAGACUGCCUAUGGGUUGUAAACCUCUUUUCUCAGGGAGGAACAUAAUGACGUGUACCUGAGGAAUAAGCAUCGGCUAACUCCGUGCCAGCAGCCGCGGUAAGACGGAGGAUGCAAGUGUUAUCCGGAAUCACUGGGCGUAAAGCGUCUGUAGGUUGUUUGAUAAGUCAACUGUUAAAUCUUGAAGCUCAACUUCAAAAUCGCAGUCGAAACUAUUAGACUAGAGUAUAGUAGGGGUAAAGGGAAUUUCCAGCGGAGCGGUGAAAUGCGUAGAGAUUGGAAAGAACACCGAUGGCGAAGGCACUUUACUGGGCUAUUACUGACACUCAGAGACGAAAGCUAGGGUAGCAAAUGGGAUUAGAUACCCCAGUAGUCCUAGCUGUAAACAAUGGAUACUAGAUGUUGGGCAGAUCGACCUGUUCAGUAUCAAAGCUAACGCGUUAAGUAUCCCCGCCUG